AUUGAACGCUGGCGGCAGGCCUAACACAUGCAAGUCGAGCGGUAACACAGGGAGCUUGCUCCUGGGUGACGAGCGGCGGACGGGUGAGUAAUGUCUGGGAAACUGCCUGAUGGAGGGGGGAUAACUACUGGAAACGGUAGCUAAUACCGCAUAACGUCGCAAGACCAAAGAGGGGGACCUUCGGGCCUCUUGCCAUCAGAUGUGCCCAGAUGGGAUUAGCUAGUAGGUGGGGUAACGGCUCACCUAGGCGACGAUCCCUAGCUGGUCUGAGAGGAUGACCAGCCACACUGGAACUGAGACACGGUCCAGACUCCUACGGGAGGCAGCAGUGGGGAAUAUUGCACAAUGGGCGCAAGCCUGAUGCAGCCAUGCCGCGUGUAUGAAGAAGGCCUUCGGGUUGUAAAGUACUUUCAGCGGGGAGGAAGGUGUUGAGGUUAAUAACCUCAGCAAUUGACGUUACCCGCAGAAGAAGCACCGGCUAACUCCGUGCCAGCAGCCGCGGUAAUACGGAGGGUGCAAGCGUUAAUCGGAAUUACUGGGCGUAAAGCGCACGCAGGCGGUCUGUCAAGUCGGAUGUGAAAUCCCCGGGCUCAACCUGGGAACUGCAUUCGAAACUGGCAGGCUAGAGUCUUGUAGAGGGGGGUAGAAUUCCAGGUGUAGCGGUGAAAUGCGUAGAGAUCUGGAGGAAUACCGGUGGCGAAGGCGGCCCCCUGGACAAAGACUGACGCUCAGGUGCGAAAGCGUGGGGAGCAAACAGGAUUAGGUACCCUGGUAGUCCACGCCGUAAACGAUGUCGACUUGGAGGUUGUGCCCUUGAGGCGUGGCUUCCGGGGCUAACGCGUUAAGUCGACCGCCUGGGGAGUACGGCCGCAAGGUUAAAACUCAAAUGAAUUGACGGGGGCCCGCACAAGCGGUGGAGCAUGUGGUUUAAUUCGAUGCAACGCGAAGAACCUUACCUACUCUUGACAUCCAGAGAACUUAGCAGAGAUGCUUUGGUGCCUUCGGGAACUCUGAGACAGGUGCUGCAUGGCUGUCGUCAGCUCGUGUUGUGAAAUGUUGGGUUAAGUCCCGCAACGAGCGCAACCCUUAUCCUUUGUUGCCAGCGGUUAGGCCGGGAACUCAAAGGAGACUGCCAGUGAUAAACUGGAGGAAGGUGGGGAUGACGUCAAGUCAUCAUGGCCCUUACGAGUAGGGCUACACACGUGUUACAAUGGCGCAUACAAAGAGAAGCGACCUCGCGAGAGCAAGCGGACCUCAUAAAGUGCGUCGUAGUCCGGAUUGGAGUCUGCAACUCGACUCCAUGAAGUCGGAAUCGCUAGUAAUCGUAGAUCAGAAUGCUACGGUGAAUACGUUCCCGGGCCU
rnacentral:rRNA from 1 species